rnacentral:rRNA from 1 species
GACGAACGCUGGCGGCGUGCUUAACACAUGCAAGUCGAACGGAAAGGCCUCAGCUUGCUGGGGUCCUCGAGUGGCGAACGGGUGAGUAACACGUGGGUGAUCUGCCUUGCACUCUGGGAUAAGCUUGGGAAACUGGGUCUAAUACCGGAUAUGAACUGCCUUUAGUGUGGUGGUUGGAAAGUUUUUUCGGUGCAAGAUGAGCUCGCGGCCUAUCAGCUUGUUGGUGGGGUAAUGGCCUACCAAGGCGUCGACGGGUAGCCGGCCUGAGAGGGGGUACGGCCACAUUGGGACUGAGAUACGGCCCAGACUCCUACGGGAGGCAGCAGUGGGGAAUAUUGCACAAUGGGCGGAAGCCUGAUGCAGCGACGCCGCGUGGGGGAUGACGGCCUUCGGGUUGUAAACUCCUUUCGACAGGGACGAAGCUUUUUGUGACGGUACCUGUAUAAGAAGCACCGGCUAACUACGUG